rnacentral:rRNA from 1 species
CCUACGGGAGGCAGCAGUGGGGAAUCUUGCGCAAUGGGCGAAAGCCUGACGCAGCCAUGCCGCGUGAAUGAUGAAGGUCUUAGGAUUGUAAAAUUCUUUCACCGGGGACGAUAAUGACGGUACCCGGAGAAGAAGCCCCGGCUAACUUCGUGCCAGCAGCCGCGGUAAUACGAAGGGGGCUAGCGUUGCUCGGAAUUACUGGGCGUAAAGGGAGCGUAGGCGGAUAGUUUAGUCAGAGGUGAAAGCCCAGGGCUCAACCUUGGAAUUGCCUUUGAUACUGGCUAUCUUGAGUGUGGGAGAGGUAUGUGGAACUCCGAGUGUAGAGGUGAAAUUCGUAGAUAUUCGGAAGAACACCAGUGGCGAAGGCGACAUACUGGCCCAUUACUGACGCUGAGGCUCGAAAGCGUGGGGAGCAAACAGGAUUAGAUACCCUGGUAGUCCACGCUGUAAACGAUGAGUGCUAGUUGUCGGCAGGCAUGCCUGUCGGUGACGCAGCUAACGCAUUAAGCACUCCGCCUGGGGAGUACGGUCGCGAGAUUAAAACUCAAAGGAAUUGACGGCGNGAGACGNGCGAGGACGACGACGAGGGAGAGG